CUAUAGCAAUAACACGGUUUGACACCGCUUUAAAUGCCAAUCCUGGGGUUUUGUACUUUUGCGAGGCAGCACUAGCAUUCCUGGGCAGAGAAGGCUAAAAGGCCUUGCGAAACUACAAAUCCCGAGACUCCAUUUAGGCUCGAGCUCCGGCACUUAAAGCAGUGUUAAACCGCGUUAUUUCUACAGCGCAGAUGGUCUCCAAACUCAGCUCUUUCAAGGAUUUUGGACUUCAGCUCCCAGGAUCCCAGACUAUUGGCCAACAUGGCUGAGGCUUCUGGGGGAUGAAGUCCAAAAUCUCUUAAAGGGCAGAGUGGGGAAAUCACUGUUGGUAGAAGACCCGCCCUCUCUCUUCUUCUGCCCCUUUAAGAGCCGCUUUGGGCCCGCCCGGAUUAAAGAUGGCGCGGCGGGACGUUCCUGGAGAAGUCACGUGACUCGGGGAAGGUCCGCCCUGAGCCUGGCGCUGACGUGGGCCUGGGAGCAGUGCGCCUGCGCACCCGCACUGCGCAUGCUCAGUGGGAAGCUGAGCAGCGGGUCCGCAGUGGAGCCAAGGGCGGGAAGAGAGAAGGCUCCGUCCGUCCCUUUCUUGCCUGGGAUGAGGUGACCGGCCCGCCUCCUCGGCCAUGGCCCCCCGCGGCCUUCUCCGCCGGCGCCUCCUUCCGCCGGAGCUCUACCGGGCGCCCUUCCCGCUCUACGCCCUCCGCCUUCACCGCGAAGCCGGGCUGGCGCUGCUGGCCGGGGGAGGGGGCGCCGCCAAGACCGGAAUCGCCAACGGACUGCACUUCCUGGCGCUGUCCUGGCACAACGGGGAGCUCUCGGCCUCCCUCCUCCAUGCCCACGACACGGAGACCAGGGCCACCAUGACCAUGGACCUGGCCGGAGACGUCAUCGCCGCUGGACAGGAUGCCACCUGCCACAUCCUUCGCUUCCGCCUCCAGAGACCUUGCAGCAGAGUGGAAGGAGCCCCCAGCGAAGCAGGUGGGGGUGACAAGAUCCCCCGGAGGCGUAAGGCCCCCACCACCAGCACCUCAGGCGGCACACGCAUCGAGACAACUGAAGUGGAGGUGGAGACCCUGCACUGCGUCCAGACAGACACCAGCCCCGACACCCUCCAGAAGGCCGUGUGCUUCAGCGAUGACCACACCCUCCUGGUCACAGGCGGCGUGGACGGCUUCUUGCGGGUCUGGGAGUUUCCCAGCAUGAAGAAGACCCUUGAGUUCCAGGCCCACAAUGGGGAAAUUGAGGACAUAGCUUUGAGCCCUGACAACAAGGUGGUGACAGUGGGCCGGGACUUCCAGUGCUGUGUGUGGCAACGGGACCAGAUGGUGACUGGGCUGCACUGGAACGAGAACCUUCCAGGCAUCCCAGACAAGGCUUACCGCUACCAGGCCUGCAGGUUUGGGACAGUGGAAGACCAAGACAAGGCCCUGCGGCUGUACACGGUGCAGAUCCCCUACAAGCGAGAGCGCCGCCCGCCCCCCUGCUACAUCACUAAGUGGGAUGGGCACAGCUUCCUGCCACUGCUCACUAGGCCCUGCGGCAAUGAGGUCAUUUCCUGCCUCUCUGUCAGAGGCUGUAUUACGUGGAAGAGGCCCAUGGCAUUGUGGUCACAGCUGUGGCCUUCCUGCCUGAGACCCCAGAGCUGCUGAAGGACAAUGAGGCUGCCCUGCUGAGCGUGGCUGUGGACAGCCGCUGUCGGCUGCACCGGAUCCCCUGCCGGCGAAGUUUCCCCAUCUGGCUACUGCUGUUGCUCUGCGCUGGCCUGAUUGUGGCCACAGUCCUGCUACUGCAGCUGACCUUCCCUGGCUUCUUGUGACCCUCUUCCUUCCUCAUGGACAGCCUCUACGGAUGCAUGGACAUUCACGUGGCCCUCUCUAGACCCAUUGGCUGAAGAGGAGCCCAGCCCCAAGCACUAGGAUCAGUCUUGAUGGAGAAGCUGGCCAGGGCUGCUUACCUGAACUGCGGGCUGGCUGGCUGGGAUCUUGGCUCAGGCACUGCUCCUGGGCCUUGCCAUCCCAUCACCGGGGCAAGGGGCACCUAUAUAUUUGUGACUCUCCUGGGAGAAUCAUUCCCACCUUGGCUGCUCUGAGCGGGCGAGUCCCGCUCCAGCCCAUGAAGGACGAUUAAAUCAGGAUGAAGGAGCAAAUCCUCUUUCCUGCAGCCUAC